UUCUCUGUGUCUGUGGCACAGGUCAUGUGGGAGUAGAUUUCUUUGAUGUCUCGUCGCAAGUUCAGAUCUAAGAACUGCACCUUGAUGUAGUUACCAGCAUCCUCAAAGGUGUUGGGACCUGAGAGAGAGUCGUUGAGCUGAUAUUCGGAGGCCCUUUCAAAGCACGCUUGGAUACCCGAGUCCUUCCACAACCUCAGGAUGAUGUCUGACAGCUCCUUGGGCAUGGAGCCUUCCUCGAUGGUGUCCGCUAAGUGCAUCAGCCUCCUUCCAUCAUCCUGCAGAAAACAGAGGCUUGAGGCUUAUUAUUCUUGCCCUAAGCCGCUUCAAGCUUGAUGUGCCAUAACCCUGACCCACAUCACUUCACGGACAAAGACACGGGCAUUUAUGAAUGUACACGCAUGCCUGAAAAAUGUUUUGAGAUCAUUUAUUUUGGAUAUUGAGAUAUAGAGACUUUUAUAAACUAUGCUGUCAUUUUUGUGUCUCCAGUUUAUUUAGCACUACUUUGGUUUGACUUUCAGUAAGACAUCAAUUUUAUUAUCUUAUUUCUUCUGUGUAAGCUUUAGAUAUUUAAUAUUCCUUUCAUAUCACAGCAAAGAAAUUAAUAAAACAUAAAAUGUCGUUCAGUCAUCGCCUGUUUAUUAUGACGAUUUAAAUGGGAAGGCUACACAACGAAUCCACUAUAUACCAUUUUUCAAAUCUAGCCAAUUAGCUGUUCUUCAUGUUUGGACUUGAACAAUCAUUUGAGUCCCCUCAUGCGUUGUUACCUAGCAGCAGAAGUUUGACGGUCCUGGCAUCUUUGUCGGCGUCCUCUUUCAGCUUCUUCUCUAGCUCCUUGGAGUGCUUCUCCUCUGCGCUCGCCCCGGCCCCCAUACUGACUCUUGAUUAGGGAAAAAAGAAGUCCUUCUGGAUAACCACUCGCUUGCACAGAGGCCUCCAGGUGCUGUCAACGAUACAGCUCACACCUCGACUGGAUCUUGGUGACCUGACGAAUCGUUUCGAGUCUUAGAGGGAUUUUGGGGAUGUCUCUGACCACCUGGGUUGGUGGGGCCAAUGAAGAACAAGGACAGAAGGCAUUCAAAGCACGGAGAGGUCAUCUAACCUCAGAUUUAGGGAGAAGGUGCUGCGCUCAGCAAAAGGCGCUAAGCUGACCGGUGUCUUCACGAGCACAUUAAAAAGGACUGUGUGAGUGGUGUAAUGUGAAUGUUACAUUGUCAUCAACCGAUGCAUGGUAUGCUUUUCAAGAAAAGGCAGAAGAAGACUGAGAAGUAAAUGGGCCUCGUGUUGCCUGCCAUUGUGGUUUUCUCUCUCUAUAUUCUGGUGAAAAUAUGCUUGACAUCGUGAAAGCAAAUUGCCUCUGUAUGGCCAAAAUUUUUGGCUUUUCAAAAUAGCCUGAAAGAUUUUUUUUAUUUUUUAUAAAAUGACUGAAUGUGAGGAAGUUCUGCAAUCUCCAUGAGUAAUUCUAAUCUCACCUUCCCACUGUAGUCAUCAGAAUCAGUUCGCAUUUUCCAUGCAGUGUACACAGAGUGCAGCACAGCGUUUAAAGAGCUUUAGUCUUUUACCUGACAGCUCAUUGACCCCAAUCUGAAGAUUGAUACAUUUUAAUCCACAGGCAUCACAGGUGACAGGAACACUUUCUUUGAUGUACUUUAUUAGUAGCAAAUAUUCAUUUCAAUGUAUACCUGGAAAAAUAAACAUUAAUGCAAGUAAUGUUUAAUUAUAUGAUCACGUUUAUCAUGCUAAACAUUUAGUUUAGCUUAAAAACAGUUUAGUUUAUCUAAAAAACAAGUGCUAAGAAAGCCUUUCAUUGGCUACACUGGGUUAAAAAUGUGUUCGUAAAUCUCUGUAUUCAUUUAUGCCACGUUUUUGCCCUCAUGACUGACUGUAAUUAACAAGACAAUCAACCGUCACAUUAUUUGAUAGAUUUAUCUUGGUUUAGUUCAAAGAAUUUUGAAAGACAUUUCUGUGUUUCUUUUUUUUUUUCCAACUUUGAGAAUUGUCAUGUCACAGUGCUACAUAAAGAUACAGUAACAUGUUGUUUGUAUCAUUGUUACAUAGUAAAAACUAUAAAUUAUGCAUAAUUACAUGCACUUAACCCUAAACUAAACCAUCAACCUAACCCUAACCAUAUAGUAAGUACAUGUAGUUAAUUAUUAUUACUCAGUACUUAAAUGUAUAAUUGCACUGUAACACGGACACCUUAAAAUAAAGUGUAAUCAAAAAUCUUCAAUUCAGUGAUCAGAAUUGUUGGUUACAUUUUAUUUUAAGGUGUCCUUGUUACAAUGUAAUUAUACAUUUAAUUAACAGCAUUUACUUGCUUUGUAAUUAUGCAUAAUUUACUGUUGUUACUACAUAAGCAACAUGUAACAAGAACAUUAAAAUAAAGUUACAGAUUUUUUUAAAUAAAAUAAAAAAAAAACUUGGCACAAGGUUUUCAAAUAUUUAUUUAAAAUUCUACUGUAUGGUGUGAUGACAUUUGUGAAUUACGUUUGGAAAGAGAGCACAAAUCACACUUCAUUAUCAAUUGUCAUUCAUCUUGUGAAUGACCCUAAAGUAAAGUUCUCAAAUAAUGUACUAUUUUCUCAGUUCAUAAAAUAUGCAAAUCAGCAGCUUCCUUAAUCCACUUUUGGUGAAAAGUGAAAAAGCUAUUGGUUUUUUAUGCACUGUAAACUCAUGUCUUUUUCAAUCUAACAUUAAGCUUGUGAAUGAAAGGUUCAGACGUAAGUACAGUAUAUACCCAAUAACAUUUCUGAAGAAAGACCAACCUAUAUUUGUUAUAAAAUAUAUAACUUUAAUUAGUCAACGACAAUGAUGGAAAAGAAAACAAAUAAAAAUACAUUACUAUAACAUUAACUGUUUAUAACAUCUAAUUCUGGAUCUUUUUCACAUUAGAUAAAAAAAAAAAAAAAGACAAAACAAUGGAACAAACCACAGUGAUGAAUAAUGUCUUAUAAAUGAAAGAAAAAACAUUUACAACAACCAUUUCACACAGCCUGUCUGCUGAGUGUUCUGAGAAAACACAACGGAGGUGACACACACACACACACACACACAUAUAAGGUAAUUGUGCUUGAUUCCAUCACUAGUUAAAGUCCUCUGUCUUCAGAAAACAGUCUCUCUCUUACUCUCGAUUCAUGUCAAAGACCAUACAGCAACACGGCAACAUAUCCAGAAUUUGACUACAUAUCUGUACAGUACAAAUACAGUUCAUGCAAACGCAAACAAGUUUAGUUCCAAAUGAUGUAACACUUCCAAAUGAUCACCUAUUAAUUGUUUUUUUGUUUUUCUUUUCUUUUCUUUUUUUUUA